GAAUUUCCGUAAAUGCAGAUUCCUGAGAUAUUAACUGUGUUUUCCCUUUGCUAGAUAACCUCUUCAAACCAAAGGAAAGAUUCAUUCCAGAAAAAGAGAUGCACAUGAGAUCUAAAAGGAUUUAUGAUAAUUUACCUGAAGUAAAAAAGAAGCAAGAAGAGAAGCAGAAACGGGUGAUCAUCCAGAGCAACAGACUGCGUGUUGAGCUCUUUAAAAAGCAAUUACUGGACCAGCUCCUUCAAAGAAACACAGAGUGAGAAAGGAUUCUCUUGCUGACGAUACUAAUUGGAUCUCGAAUGCCUUUGACUCUUAGAUAAGCCAUAAAAUUCGCUGUUAUCUUAAUUUCUCGGAGGUAUUUCUCUUAUCUUUGGCUCUUCAUGCAAAGAAGAUCAUUUGUAUUUCAACUGAAAUUUAAAAGUAACUUUCAAGCAAUCAAAAACAGUCUGAAAGGCAACACAGCUGUUUAAGAGCAUCAACUCAUGGUCAGUUUACCCAGAGGAAAUAAUUUUAAGAAUUUUUAAUGCAAAUACUGUUUAACAGUGGUAUUAUUUAUUUUAUUUUAUUUCAAGUAUACAUCUCUGUAGCAAGAGAACUGGCUUUAUAAAACCUGGGAAACGUAUUUCUCCAAAGCAUUCUAUUAAUUGAUUUCCUGUGAGUUAAAUCCUUGAACUAAAGAAAAAUGAACAUCAUUAUUUGUUAUGUUUAGAAACUAGCUGAAAUAGCAUUACCACAUAAUCAUGGCAGCAGCAGUUUUACAUUAAUACUUAACAUACCAAAAGGGACCAGUAUUUUAGCUCUCUGAAGAACUCUAUUCAUGUUUAUACAGUGAAUCUAUAUAGUAAGUUUACCUGUUAAACAGCAAUAUUUAAAAAUAUGGCUAUAAUUUUUUUCACAUGUUUUUCAUUGCAAUAUGUCUUUUACUCAACUUCUGUGAUCAUUAAGUAUUUACAGGAAUGGCAUAUUAAGAAGUGGUGCCAAGAAGUAUGUUUGUAUCAAAAUUGCACAACUAAAACCAUCUGUAAUGUUUCCUCCAAAAAUAUUUAAAUCUUUAUUUGUACAUUUUGGAAGUAAAAACAACCAGCUUACAAACCAACAGAAUUUAUUUAUGGAAUUAAAUAUGAAU